GUAGGUGGCAAGCGUUGUCCGGGAAUUAUUGGGGCGUAAAGCGCGCGCAGGCGGUUCUUUAAGUCUGAUGUGAAAGCCCACGGGCUCAACCGUGGGAGGGUCAUUGGAAACUGGAGAACUUGAGUACAGAAGAGGAAAGCGGAAUUCCACGUGUAGCGGUGAAAUGCGUAGAGAUGUGGAGGAACACCAGUGGCGAAGGCGGCUUUCUGGUCUGUAACUGACGCUGAGGCGCGAAAGCGUGGGGAGCAAACAGGAUUAGAUACCCUGGUAGUCCACGCCGUAAACGAUGAGUGCUAAGUGUUAGGGGGUUUCCGCCCCUUAGUGCUGCAGCUAACGCAUUAAGCACUCCGCCUGGGGAGUACGGCCGCAAGGCUGA
rnacentral:rRNA from 1 species